rnacentral:rRNA from 1 species
GACGAACGCUGGCGGCGUGCCUAAUACAUGCAAGUAGAACGCACAGUUUAUACCGUAGCUUGCUACACCACAGACUGUGAGUUGCGAACGGGUGAGUAACGCGUAGGUAACCUGCCUGGUAGCGGGGGAUAACUAUUGGAAACGAUAGCUAAUACCGCAUAAUAUUAAUUAUUGCAUGAUAAUUAAUUGAAAGGUGCAAUUGCACCACUACCAGAUGGACCUGCGUUGUAUUAGCUAGUAGGUGAGGUAACGGCUCACCUAGGCGACGAUACAUAGCCGACCUGAGAAGGUGAACCGCCACACUGGGACUGAGACCCGGCCCAGAGUGCCACAGGAAGCAGCAGUAGGGAAUCUUCGGCCAUGGGCGGAAGUCUGACCGAGCAACGCCGCGGGAGUGAAGAAGGUUUUCGGGUCGUAAAGCUCUGUUGUAAGGGAAGAAAGGGUGUGAGAGUGGAAAGUUCACACUGUGACGGUAGCUUACCAGAAAGCGACGGCUAACUACGUG